rfam:Actinobacteria bacterium 13_1_20CM_3_68_10 13_1_20cm_3_scaffold_12547, whole genome shotgun sequence.
GCGGUAGGGCGUGAUGGUCGCGGUGCGCCGGUCGGAGUGGCGUGCUGAGGAAAGUCCGAGCUCCACAGGGCAGACUGCCAGGUAACGCCUGGGCGCCGCAAGGCGACGGAACGGGCCACAGAAAACAGACCGCCCUUUUAUCCAAAGGGUAAGGGUGAAAAGGUGGGGUAAGAGCCCACCGCGCGCCUGGCAACAGGCGCGGCACGGUAACCCCCAGUCGGAGCAAGGCCAAGUAAGCAGCGAGACCCGGCCCGGGUCGUCCGAGCUGCGGGUAGGCCGCGCGAGGUGGCUGGCGACAGCCAUCCCAGAGAGAUGACCAUCUGUCCGCCAACAGCGGAUAAACAGAACUCGGCUUAUGGCCCUACCGCCCGC